rnacentral:snRNA from 1 species
AGCUUUGCACAGUGGCAGUAUCAUAGCCAGUGAGGUUUAUCCACGGCACAAUUAUUGCUGAUUGAAAACUUUUUCCUAUACAUGUUCUUUUGAUCAAGCUUGUUAAUUGUAUUAUAUUUUCUAAAUGCUACUAGU